rnacentral:misc_RNA from 1 species
GCAAACUUGGUCAUUUAGAGGAAGUAAAAGUCGUAACAAGGUUUCCGUAGGUGAACCUGCGGAAGGAUCAUUAUCGAGGGGGCUUGCCCCCGUCAAGAUACCAUCCCUUGCCUUUUGAGUACCGUCUGUUUCCUCGGCAGGCUCGCCUGCCAAUGAGGACCACAUCCAAACCUUUUUGUAUCUGUAGUAAACGUCUGAUAAAACAAAAAAUCAAAACUUUCAACAACGGAUCUCUUGGUUCUGGCAUCGAUGAAGAACGCAGC